rnacentral:rRNA from 1 species
GUGCAAGUCGAGGGGUAACAGGAAAGCUUGCUUUCGCUGACGACCGGCGCACGGGUGCGUAACGCGUAUGCAACCUACCUCAUACUGGAGGAUAGCCCCUGGAAACGGGGAUUAAUACUCCAUAGUAUCACGAAUUCGCAUGUUUUUGUGAUUAAAGUUUUUCGGUAUGAGAUGGGCAUGCGUCCCAUUAGCUUGUUGGUGAGGUAACGGCUCACCAAGGCAACGAUGGGUAGGGGGCCUGAGAGGGUGGUCCCCCACACUGGUACUGAGACACGGACCAGACUCCUACGGGAGGCAGCAGUGAGGAAUAUUGGUCAAUGGAGGCAACUCUGAACCAGCCAUGCCGCGUGAAGGAUGACGGCCCUAUGGGUUGUAAACUUCUUUUAUAGAGGAAGAAACUUGUCUACGUGUAGACAACUGACGGUACUCUACGAAUAAGGAUCGGCUAACUCCGCGCCAGCAGCCGCGGUAAUACGGAGGAUCCAAGCGUUAUCCGGAUUCAUUGGGUUUAAAGGGUCCGUAGGCGGGUCUUUAAGUCAGUGGUGAAAGCCGACAGCUCAACUGUCGAACUGCCAUUGAUACUGGAGACCUUGAGUACAAAUGAAGUAGGCGGAAUGAGUCAUGUAGC